ensembl:lincRNA Gm13905 predicted gene 13905
ACCAUCAACUGGAAGUGAAGAUAAAUCCCCUGGGGCUGGAGUUACAGUAAGUCAUGAGUUGCUACAAACUUGUGCUGGGAACCAAAUUCAGGUCCUCUGGCAGAACAGACAACAAAACCACUGAGCCAUCUCUCCAGCCUUGCUCAUGACAAUUUACAACAGCUUCGUAUGCUUGUCUGCAGGGUUUAUCAAAGAUGGGGAAGGUCACAUGAGCUCCUGUGAAGUGAACAGAUUUCUUCCAGCAUGUGAUUCCACAAUGAUGAAGACAUGAAAGAGGGAUGAGGUAUCCUGUCCUUCCAGUCUCCCGAGGUGAUGCCAUGUUGACAGCCCCGAGGACUCUAGGCCCCACUCACCACUCACUGACCCUGAAGAUGGAUGGAAAAGAAAACAGCAUCUGAAAGGCCGCCCCCAUCAGCAGGAAAUCAUUGUUUUGCCAAUCCCAGAGCUGAGAAACAAGUGUAACACUGGAGACAGGAGGAUACAGUGCCAUUCAAGGCUAUUGUCACAGCCUCUGCUCUGUGUGCAUGAAAGAAACAAAGGGGGGCCUGUGUACAAAUACAGGGACAAUGCUGUUGUGUUA